rnacentral:sRNA from 1 species
ACUUAUCCAAAGUUCGCGUUAGGGAUAGCAGCGAAAAGCCCACAGUCUCGCCUUUUUUUGGCGGGACGAGGACUUGUAGCGAAUAGCCCGACUCCUU